rnacentral:rRNA from 1 species
GGGGGGGGGGGGGGGGGGGGCUGGGGGAGGGGGGGCGGGCGGAGGGGCGGGAAGCUCGCUUCUCUGGUGUGAGGGGCGGACGGGUGAGUCGCAGGUGGCUAACCUGCCGAGAGGACGGGGGUAACUUCGGGCACCCGGAGCUCAACCCGGGUCAUCUUUUGAAACGCAUGGUUCACAAGUGCACGACGGUCUUUCUGUCACUUCACGAUGGCUCGCGGUUGCAUUAGUUACUUGGUACGGUAACGCCUUACCAAGGCCACGAUGCAUAACCGACCUGCGAGGGUGAUCGGUCACACUGGAACUGAGACACGGUCCAGACUCCUACGGGAGGCAGCAGUAGGGAAUCUUCCGCAAUGGGCGAAAGCCUGACGGAGCAACGCCGCGUGAGUGAUGAAGGUCUUCGGAUCGUAAAACUCUUUUAUUAGGGAAGAACAUAUGUGUAAGUAACUGUGCACAUCUUGACGGUACCUAAUCAGAAAGCCACGGCUAACUACGUG